UCCCCACAGACUUCACUGUAUCUUCAAAAUCCAUUUGUCUGUUGUUGCCAGAAUUACACCAUCAUCAGGGUGCGGCCCCUUCAGGAAUCUCACCACAGUGUUUCAGUCAAGCAAGCUGUUGCGCCAGGAGCUGGAGAUAAGUCACCCAGCCUUGUCUUGGCUCACCUGGCUGUACAGCUCUCUGGUGGAGAACCCACUGAUUUUAUUUUCCACCACCGGAGUUUUUCUAAUGGUGAUAUACUUUCACAAUCAGGUUGUUGACGGUCAAAGGCAAAUCAUCGCUCAGUUAGAAAAGCAAAUUGAAAAUGAGGGUAAGGACAAAAAGUUCCUCAUCACCAAAUUGCAAGAGAGCAGUGAACAAAAUAAUUUGGUUUCCCCUCAAUAGAUAAGUUUGUGGCUGAACAAUAUUCACAACAUACUAUAGCUAAGGCACAGUACCUAUGCCAAGAUGAUGGGUUUUCAACAUCAUCAGUGAUGUGACUUAUACCAAGAGCUAAAGUAAAAACCAAACUUGUAACAGAAUGUUAGUUUCAAAUACAUAUGCCAGAAAGUUUGAGUUCUUAAUGUGCUGGAUGAAAACAAACUUAAUGGAGCCAUUUGUUUUAUUUACACAGUGAGGUCUUGUUUGUAUGUCAGGAUGUAUAUUUGUAUUUUAUAUAUUUUAUAAAUGAAUGAAUAAUGACCUUGAACGUGUUCUAUGAAAAUACAAAAUGCAUUUAUUUUAACACAUUAUUGUGUUAUUGCUGUCUUUUUGACAAAUUAGUCAAAUGGAAACGGACCCUAAAUGAAAACAGUGUAUAAAGUUCAGACUUGGAGGAACUUCUUCAGCACCGGUUCUGUUGCUGAGUGUUCCACGACUGUGUGUUUGUGUAUGACAAUAAAAGAUGAAAAGACCAGAUCUGGUCUCC